UACGUAGGGGCCGAGCGUUGUCCGGAGUUAUUGGGCGUAAAGCGCGCGCAGGCGGCCUCGCGCGCCCGACGUGAAAGCCCCCGGCUUAACCGGGGAGGGUCGUCGGGGACGGCGGGGCUUGAGGGCGGGAGAGGUCGGUGGAAUUCCCGGUGUAGUGGUGAAAUGCGUAGAGAUCGGGAGGAACACCUGUGGCGAAGGCGGCCGACUGGGCCGACCCUGACGCUGAGGCGCGAAGGCGUGGGGAGCGAACGGG
rnacentral:rRNA from 1 species